rnacentral:rRNA from 1 species
GAUGAACGCUGACAGAAUGCUUAACACAUGCAAGUCUUUGGCGAAGCUGUGCUUGCACAGCCUAGCCAAGGCGGACGGGUGAGUAACGCGUAAGGAACUUGCCCUGCAGUCAGGGAUAACAGACGGAAACGACUGAUAAGACCUGGUAAAGUCAGCCGGACUCAUGUCCAGCCUGAUGAAAAGAGAUGCUGCAGGAGAGCCUUGCGUCCUAUUAGCUUGUUGGUGGGGUAACGGCCCACCAAGGCGAUGGUAGGUAGCCGGCCUGAGAGGGUGGACGGCCACAAGGGGACUGAGAUACGGCCCUUACUCCUACGGGAGGCAGCAGUGGGGAAUAUUGGACAAUGGGGGCAACCCUGAUCCAGCAAUUCUGUGUGCACGAUGAAGGUUUUCGGAUUGUAAAGUGCUUUCAGCAGGGAAGAAAAAAUGACGGUACCUGCAGAAGAAGCGACGGCUAAAUACGUG